rnacentral:rRNA from 1 species
UACGUAGGUGGCAAGCGUUGUCCGGAAUUAUUGGGCGUAAAGCGCGCGCAGGCGGUUCUUUAAGCCUGAUGUGAAAGCCCACGGCUCAACCGUGGAGGGUCAUUGGAAACUGGAGAACUUGAGUACAGAAGAGGAAAGCGGAAUUCCACGUGUAGCGGUGAAAUGCGUAGAGAUGUGGAGGAACACCAGUGGCGAAGGCGGCUUUCUGGUCUGUAACUGACGCUGAGGCGCGAAAGCGUGGGGAGCAAACAGG